CUGCGUUCAUCACGCCGUGUAUGCUCAACUGCGUCUCCAGCCGUUACGUACGACCGCUCAUUAUCUUCACAAACUGUACCAUAUUGAACUACAUUGGGAAAAAUUUAUUGGCUGUCGUGGCAAGCGCGCUGGUGCACGGCGUCGCUUGCCGCCAUACUGUGGACGUCGAGCGCGGGAGAGGCGUUCCGCUCGACGUUCCGACUGCAAACAAUUUCAAACGGAUAAGAAUACUACUCACUAAUAGACCUAUGCGUCUAAUUGUCAAAUUAGAACACAACAAUGCGGCCGAUAAAGGAAAGGGCUGAUUCGUAACUGUAGUGCUCCUGUAACAAGAAAACAAUACUUUUAUUCAUAAUUAAAGCGUAGGUAUAAAAUAGUGGUUAUAAAAUAUAUUUAUAGCUUUAAUACUUGUAAUAAUAUGUAUCGUCUUUACUUGACUUUAAUAGCAUAGAAUUUGUGACGCUAAUAGUAAGAAUGAACAAAUCUAAUUAGGUUGACGUUAUUUAUUUAUUUUUGUCUCUAACUUGUUAGGCUUUAUGCUACGUUGUAAGAUAAUUUAUCUACUAAAUAAAAAAGUUACGUAUAA